UCACUUCAGCAGUGUGUAUAAUAAUAUUGGAACAAUAUAGAAAAGAGUAACAUGGUUCUUUUGCAGCAAUGACAUGGAAAUCUAUGAAGCAUUCUGUAUUUUA
ensembl:snRNA U6 U6 spliceosomal RNA